GCAAGGAUGUAGGGUAUGAGAAGGCAGGAAUGGGGGUUGCUUGGGGGAAAGGGUGGACUGGAAAACCUCAAAAUAGCAAGGAAGCCAAGAUUAGCCAGCAUUUAACUCACAAGUUUUACAUUAGGAGUGAAUCUCCAUUUAGCACCCAAGAAGCUAAAGGCACACAGUACUAUGGAAGGAGAGUGCAGCUGUGUAUGAGAGAGGAUUCUAAGUAGAUCUGCUAGCCCUGAACAUAUACAUAUGUUUAGUGGCAUUAUUCAGCAGUGGAAAGAAAGAUUCUUGUGCUAUCUGUUCAAAGGCUGACCUAUGGACCCUGCCAAAAAAAAUGUUCCAUGUGAACAUUAGCUUGCAAGGCCCUUGUUUUUAGCACCAAAUACCCUGAGUACUGAAAAAGGACAUCAGUGAUCAGAUGGAACUUGGCACGGGCAACACCCAGGUUGUGUGUGAGGCAUGCUCAGAAGAGACAGACCCAGAGGCGUUUUUAAGAUAAAUGGUAAAACUGAACUGGAAAUCCAUCUGGCCAGCUGCCUGAUCUAAUGAAUAACCCCACUUUGGCUCCUGCAAUGUAAGCAGAAAGAGUUCUCUCCCGGCCGCUUUCGUCUGUCAUGAAUCUACAAGACAGCCGACAUAAUAUCUGGGCGACAACAGCGUGCUAACAGUGCAGUGACUUCCAUUUUCUUUGCUUUCUAUUGAUUUUCACUUAAUAACUGGCGAAAUACUAAACGUCCACCCUGAGUACCUAAUAAAUCCUGCCUGAGCUUUUUAUUGAGGAGAAUUUAA